GGACCCCGGGCCGAUCAGCUGCCGCCGCCGCAGCCGGAAGACGCCCGCCGCCGUGUCGUCGUCGGAGUCGGACGCGGCGCUGGUCCUUGUCAUCAGCGACGACGACGAGCCGUCUAGUCUCCUCACGUGCGCCGCUGGUCGUACACGGGUAGGCCUCUCUGCAGCGGCAACUGUAGCACAUAUAUUAUUCACCGACACGUACGAGUUAAUUAGAACUUUACUAAAAGUAUAACGCUACGUAUUAAUUACUAUGUUUUUUCACCACAAAAGGGCUGAACUGAAAUGCAGGAAAAAGUAAAAUUUAUACUUACUCCGUUUCAUCUAUACUACCUCCAAAUAUUUUAUACGGCGAUGUUAUUUCUUGAUUUACGUUUAACCAUUAAUUUUACUUAAAAAAUUAUGCAAUUAUAAAUUACUUUACUAUGAUUUGUUUUAUCAUUAAAUGUACUAACUACUCGACACUGGACAACACUGUUCAUAUUUAAACUUUGCUUAUUCAUUUUCAGCAAGAAAAUUUCCAAAUACCUAAAUAGAAGCCAUUUAUAUAUCGAAGUGUACUGCUGCUAUAUAUGAAUUAAACUUCAGUGCAUCAUAAUGUGUGGUGACCAGCUCGCUGCUAAUUAGACUUGGUGGUGGUGGUGGUUAGCAUAUGGUCGGCGCCCUAAACGUUAAGCAGGUGAGACCAAAAACGUAUUUGUGGCUGAUUGGCUCUGGAUCGUACGUGUAUUGGUUUUGCAUGAGGUGUUUUUUCUUUUUUUUCGCAGAAUCUUUCUUUCUCUCCUGCACUAUAGUUGAUGUCGUAUAUAUUUAGCAGCAGUAGUAGUAGGUUGUGUUAUACUGUAUUAUUUAUGGUUUUCUGGACAAGAGCAUGCAGUGCCAGCGUGUGGGCACCAGGACUACUGCUGGAGAAAAGACCCUGGUUGGUGAAGACCAAAUGAGAAUAUUAGAGAGAGAAUUAAAGGGAAGAUUGAAGAUGAUCACGUAAAACGACAAGGUUUAUUAGUAAAUGGUUAAUUAAGUAUUGAUUAGGGAUAAGGCUGAGAAAUAUAUUAAUAUGAUUUUUUUUAAAUACAUAUAUAUAUAUUUAAUAAAAACACUCAUUUAACUGUUCAAAAGCGUGUUUAUAGAAAAUAAGGAGAUUUUUCACCACUUCAAUCACAAACAAACCCCGCCUACUACUAGGAUGUGCAUCUUGAAAUUAAAAUGGGUGCAGAUUGAGCUUGUUUAAUCAGAAAAUUAUAGGGAAGCUAAUAAGAUCUUGUUCCUGUUGGUUUCUUUGAAUGACAUGCAAGGGAAGGAAUUUUCUAAUUGCAAUCUGGUGUUCUUGCUAAUUACACUUUAGUCUCUGAGCUGCCAUACAUAGCAGAGGAAGGGUGUGGAAUGCAGCUUUGCAGGCAAGAACUACACCGGGACUCUUUUCAUCAACAGAGAGAGGAGAAUCACAUCAAAUGGUCACCAACUCACCAUUUGACAGAAAUUAAGCAAGUGAAAGAGGAACCUUGGUAGGGGUACAUACACAAGGAGGGUACAGAUUAAUUUAAGGUCGAUCAGGCUUAAGGUUGUUUAACCUAAGGGAAAGUAAAUAAAACAUAGUAAAGAUUAAUCGAGGCAUCGAGCUGCAUGCAGUUAAUUAGCUUAGCUUAGCUAGAUCCCGAUGAACCUAAUUAGAGGGCCAGUUUGGUCCUCGGACAAAAAUGAAAGGCACCAAAAGUGGGAAGUGAAAAGCAGUGCGAGAGCAAGUAAUCACUGGUUGUGGUGGUCAUGCACAAGAUCAAAAGACUACACGCUCAGAUCAAAAAGGACAUGCAUCAAAAGAAGAGCUAGCUAGCUAGCUAGCAAGAAUGGCCAUGGCAGUGGCACUCACCAGCGGCCGCGGCGAAGACGACGACGACGGCGACGGCGAACGAGAGCGACCAGCGUCGUCGUCCCCGCCAGCUCCGGCUCCGGCAGCCGCAGCUCACGUC
rnacentral:lncRNA from 1 species